UACGUAGGGUGCAAGCGUUAAUCGGAAUUACUGGGCGUAAAGCGUGCGCAGGCGGUUCUAUAAGACAGAUGUGAAAUCCCCGGGCUCAACCUGGGAACUGCAUUUGUGACUGUAGAGCUGGAGUGCGGCAGAGGGGGAUGGAAUUCCGCGUGUAGCAGUGAAAUGCGUAGAUAUGCGGAGGAACACCGAUGGCGAAGGCAAUCCCCUGGGCCUGCACUGACGCUCAUGCACGAAAGCGUGGGGAGCAAACGGG
rnacentral:rRNA from 1 species